AUCUUUCUAGUACUAACUAGUAUAAGUGGCUUCCAACCACCCGGUCUUGGUUAAACCCCAAGGAAAGAUA
rnacentral:tRNA from 1 species